rnacentral:rRNA from 1 species
GUGGAUUAGAUACCCUGGUAGUCCUGGCCGUAAACGAUGAACACUAGAUGUCGGGGGAAUCGACCCCCUCGGUGUCGUAGCCAACGCGUUAAGUGUUCCGCCUGGGGAGUACGCACGCAAGUGUGAAACUCAAAGGAAUUGACGGGGGCCCGCACAAGCGGUGGAGUAUGUGGUUUAAUUCGAUGCAACGCGAAGAACCUUACCAGGGCUUGACAUCCUGCGAACCUCUGGGAAACCGGAGGGUGCCUUCGGGAACGCAGAGACAGGUGGUGCAUGGUUGUCGACAGCU